CAGCAGCCGCGGUAAUACAGAGGGUGCGAGCGUUAAUCGGAUUUACUGGGCGUAAAGCGUGCGUAGGCGGCUUCUUAAGUCGGAUGUGGAAUCCCUGAGCUUAACUUAGGAAUUGCAUUCGAUACUGGGAAGCUAGAGUAUGGGAGAGGAUGGUAGAAUUCCAGGUGUAGCGGUGAAAUGCGUAGAGAUCUGGAGGAAUACCGAUGGCGAAGGCAGCCAUCUGGCCUAAUACUGACGCUGAGGUACGAAAGCAUGGGGAGCAAACAGGAUUAGAUACCCCCGUAGUCCCUGUCUCUUAUAC
rnacentral:rRNA from 1 species